rnacentral:rRNA from 1 species
UACAGAGACCUCAAGCGUUAUCCGGAAUCAUUGGGCGUAAAGCGUUCCGAUAGGUGGUUUACUAAGUUUUGGGUAAAAAGCCAGAAGCUCAACUUCUGCGUUUGCUCAAGAUACUGGUAGACUAGAGGAGUAAAGAGGUAGCUGGAACCAACGGUGUAGUAGUGAAAUGCGUUGAUAUCGUUGGGGAAACACCCGAAAGCGAAGGCAGGCUACUGGGUACUACCUGACACUGCUAGGACGAAAAGCGUGGGGAGCAAACGGG